UACGGGGGGAGCAAGCGUUGUCCGGAAUUAUUGGGCGUAAAGGGUGCGUAGGCGGACUGACAAGUCUGGUGUGAAAGUUUGCGGCUUAACCGUAAAAAGCCAUUGGAAACUGUCAGUCUUGAAUCACAGAGGGGGUAGUGGAAUUCCAGGUGUAGCGGUGAAAUGCGUAGAGAUCUGGAGGAACACCGGUGGCGAAGGCGACUGCCUGGCUGUGAAUUGACGCUGAGGCACGAAAGCGUGGGUAGCAAAC
rnacentral:rRNA from 1 species